AUUGAACGCUGGCGGCAGGCCUAACACAUGCAAGUCGAACGGUAGCACAGAGGAGCUUGCUCCUUGGGUGACGAGUGGCGGACGGGUGAGUAAUGUCUGGGAAACUGCCCGAUGGAGGGGGAUAACUACUGGAAACGGUAGCUAAUACCGCAUAACGUCGCAAGACCAAAGAGGGGGACCUUCGGGCCUCUUGCCAUCGGAUGUGCCCAGAUGGGAUUAGCUAGUAGGUGGGGUAACGGCUCACCUAGGCGACGAUCCCUAGCUGGUCUGAGAGGAUGACCAGCCACACUGGAACUGAGACACGGUCCAG
rnacentral:rRNA from 1 species